GUUUUGCACAGCAAGUCAUAUGGCCCAUAAGGUAUAUAAACCAGAUUGGGCGGGCUGCCUUUCAGGGUCCUUCAGCUGUAGUGUAAGUGGAGGCACAUGCACUAUCUGUGCUAGUCAGCUUUCUUGAGCCUUGGGGGACUGGCUCACAAAAAAACAGGCCUACAUUUUCCCUUGCAGCCAUGUGCACAUAGUAAACUCGCCUCAUACAAACUAUGGCAUGUGAGUGUGUUCUGUCUCACUAGACUCAGGUAUUAGCAACGUUGAAGAGGAGGAUGGCGUAGGUGGAAGCACUCGACUCCUAUUCCUGGUAGUUCACCUAGUGAUGAUCUCUGCUGUGUUUUACGCAUUGAGAGUAUUUCCUUGGGACUGGCUAUUAGUGAACGUGUUUCAGAGAGGGCGGAUAACACAGAGCCUCAUAGGGCAUUGUAAGUACUUACAUUGCCCUGUGAAUGUGUUUGAAAGCCAUCGGAGAUUUUAAACAGAGGAGUAAUAUCUGGAUUAUAUUUAAAACUAUCACUGACUAUGAUAAAUAGAUUGAGAGGGCAUGUGUUGGGUAAAGACACUGUUUAGUAAAUAGCUUUAGUAGAAAAGAGAUCAGAACACUGAGCCUUAGGCUUUUUCAGUCACAGAGAAAGACAGAGAAUCUAGAAAAGGAGACUGUACACGAGAUAGGAGAAAACAAGAAAAUAAGGUGUCACAGAAGCGAAGCCACAUGAAGGUAAAAUUUCAAGGAAGAAGUCAACUAUAGCAAAUGACAUGUCGAGAAGAUGGGACAGAGAGGUAAGAAUGUGGAAGUUAUUGAUAGCAUAAACUUUAAAUUCUCUUAUUUUACUAACUUGAUUCUAUUAUUUUCUACUACUUGAUAAUGUCUACUUUACACGUCUUUUUCUACUACCCAUAUUUGAUAAUUAGAUGCUUCCAACUCAGAUCGCUUUAGUGAAAUGCAGACUCUUUCCCCAAAUUGUACUGGACAUUUCUACUUGAAGUUCAACAUAUUCCUCUCAAAAAUCAUCCCAUCUACUCUCACCUAGAUUCUAUUACCUUAAGUGUCCUUUUCAGUUUGGAAGACAAUUUCGAGUCAAUGAAGCUGUUACAGGUAGUUAGGCAUACGCAGAGCAGGAGAGGGC
rnacentral:lncRNA from 10 species